CUUGAUAUAAGGCCAUUGGAAACUGGCAAGGAGUCUGCAACCGCAGAAAAAACAUGUACAGGACCGUGCAAAACUCUUGGGCCACCAUUACAUCUGUUGUUUUAGCAAUGUUAUAACAUGAACUAGCCUAGAUGUUUGUCCUUUUAAUGCACUGAACAAAUUUCCUUUAUUUACUCCUUAAUGAAGAGGAAGAAAAAUACAUGGCUCUGUACAGCCACAAAAUUGCAGCAAGCUAGGUGGGCCAAGUCUUAAGCACGCUACUGUACUGUUUGUAAGAAAGAACAAUGAAAAUGAUCUGAACUUCAGAAGCAGAGGAAAACUGCAACUGCAGUUGUUAGUCCAGACAGACUAUCAAAACAAACAGACUUGGGCCAACGGGCCCUAACUCAGCAGAAACCUGUACUAUGUGGGGCUCCUCAUCGAGCAGUUGCAUCUACCUCUCACUACCACCUUUGCAUCAACUAUAUUUGACACUGAGCAUAUACAUAAUGUUAAUAAUAUGUCGCUGAUCGGACAAAAAAGGGUCACAAAUAACUAGCUGAACCUUUCCUUGGUUAACCUAAUGCUAAAAUGCUAACGCUACACACGGAGACUUCAUAGCCACCAUGGCUAAAUUAUAUUCAGAAUAUUAUAGUCUACACGUAACAAAUAUGAUAAUUUUACACACAUUUCACACAGACAAUAUUUCUGACGAUUUAUAUGGAUCGUAUAUGGUUUGCUUGUCAUCACAAAACAUGAAUGAGCAAGGCCAUUAAGUAGCCUACUGACAACAAAACACCUUAGAGUCUGUCCCCACCGGGUAGCAAAAACAGGUAUGUGUGUGUGUGUGUGUGUGUGUUCGUGCCCGUGUUGAGAAUUAGACCUACGCUCUCUGUCCAUGGGGCUGAAACACUGUGUCGAAAUGAAGUGAAGCGUUGUCACUUUGCUCUCCAAUAUUCAUUGUGAACGUGAUAUGUAGGCCUAUGUUGUAUUUUGGAGAGAGAGUGAGAGAGAGCGAGAGAGAGUGCGAGCGAGGUAUAAAACUCUUUAUAUGUAGGCCUAUUCGGCAUAUUGAACUGUCGGCCUAAUGCGCCUCCUUUUUGAAAAGUCUGACAAACGGACCAAUGGGUUCCGUUUUCGGAACAAUGAACCGUCGGCAUAAUGGCAUGUCGAUCUAAUGGGAAAUUUUUCGGACCAUUGAGACGUCGGAACAAUGAGGUGUCGGAAUUAGGGGCAGGCCCCGGAGGAGGACCCGUGGAGUGGAGGAGAUACAGGGCAGGAUUUCAGGGCUGCUGGAAUCAGUGUGGGAGCUGACAGACACUACAGGGCUGCCUCUGGUGAGCCAUGACAGCAUGCGCCACGUUUGGGAAGUGCAGCAGAAGCACCUGGAGUGCCUCCCGAGACCCUGCAGGUGUUGCACUGUACACAAAGGUGGGGACACUCCAGAAGGGCGGCAAAGAGCUGGACAUCCUUAGGUGUGGUAGGGGGUCCUCCUCCCUGGAGAGUUUUCACCGAUACCAGUGUGCUUUUAUUCCAGGUACAUUCGCAUCAAGACAUGCUGUAUUGUAUGUCUUUAUUUAAUGUUGUUUUCUGUUAUGACAGAGAAUGUGUUGUAAUUAUUCAAAAUAACACAAUUACCACUGUCGGGUAUUCAUAUGUAUUCACUUUACAUUCACGUUGACAUGAAAUGAAUGAAGAAUAUGGAUGUCUCUUUCACCGUUUAGCUACACCCAGAAGGCUAGGAAGAAAGGAAAGGAAUCAGGAGGACCGUGGAGAGCACCGAUGAGGCCGAGAGGCUCUGCUCCUGGAAAGCAGGCGGCAGAGAGACUAUACAUGACUCACAGCAAAGCAGCCCAGGAUCCCGAACACCACAGGGUCAGUGAGUGUGUCUGCCUCAGACUGGCCAAGGAGUUUGAGCAGUCACGGAACAGGCCCAAGGACACAAGGGGGAAAACCCUGUGUCUACAGCCACAUUAGACAGCUGCUGGAGGACAGCAGGGUUAUCGUGGUCCAGACGGCGCUGGCUCUGGUGCCGGUGAACAACACCACGGUCUCUGCAUGGCUCCUCAAUUGCAAGCUCCUCCAAAGUGCCCAGCCAAGGCAACGUGCCUGGAGGCUGAACAAAGCUGCCCAGGAGGAUGAGGAGCUAAUGGCAAGGGGGGAACCGCCACGGAAGAGGCUGGCAAAGGAGAAAUAUCACUACACCUGCAAGGGGUGUGGCCAGGACAAAAGCAAGCAAACUGGACACACCCAGCUGAAGGGGCGGUGUUACCGUCCAGAGUCAGGACAGACCCUGGAUGACUCGAGGAAGAGUGUAGGCCUAUAGUCACCAUCACUUGUCUCUCUCUCUGUUGUUUGUCUGUCUGUCUCUGUGUUGUUCGUGUCUGUCUCCCUGUCUGUUGUCGUGGAAAAAUCCACUGGGUUUCCACAGCUUUUAACUCCUCCAGGUUUCCACAGCUUUCUCUCUGCAGAAACAGAGCUGAUGAGAUGAUGAUGAUUCUUUAAAUCAGGGGUGCCCUACCAGUAGACCGCCGACAGAUCCCAAGUCGACCGCGAGGGGUGAAGAAAAAAAAAAUAUAUAUAUAUAUAUAUAUAUAUAUAUAUAUUUUUUUUUAAUAAAAUAAAAUUUGCGCGGGACAUAUACGCGCGGUAGCGCAUGCGCUGUCAACAGCAGUUGAAAGCCGUCAACAGUAGUUACACACUCCUAAACAUUGGCAUGGCUGAGGGUAAACGAGCCAAGACCUACCAUUUUCACCCUGAGUGGGAGGAAGAUUAUUGAUUAUCGUUGAGAAGGUGCCGUGCGCAGACGGAGUGAAACCCCCACUGAAGUCCGUAGGUUCACGAUACAACCCCCCCCCCCCCCC